GCGGUCGUGGCGGAAUGGCAGACGCGUACGUUUGAGGGGCGUAUGGUAAUACCGUAUGGGUUCAAGUCCCAUCGACCGCACCA
rnacentral:tRNA from 1 species